UCAUUGAUGUACCCACUGUAGACUGCAGAGAGAAAUAGCUUUCAUCAUGUUCAGACUUCAUAUGUGGUUCACUUUUCUCAUUAUUUUAAUGAACUGGGCUGGUACUGAAGGUCAAACACUGACUGAGUCUGAAUCAGUGGUUAAAAGGCCUGGAGACUCCCACAGACUGACCUGUACAUACUCAGGGUUCAGUAGCGGUUACUGGAACGCUUGGAUCAGACAGGCUGCUGGAAAAGGACUGGAAUGGGUUGCUACUAUCAGUGGUGACAGUA